rnacentral:rRNA from 1 species
UACGUAGGGGGCAAGCGUUGUCCGGAAUCAUUGGGCGUAAAGAGCGUGUAGGCGGUCCGAUAAGUCGGUUGUGAAAGUCAAGGGCUCAACCCUUGAAUGCCGACCGAUACUGUCGGGCUAGAGUCCGGAAGAGGCGAGUGGAAUUCCUGGUGUAGCGGUGAAAUGCGCAGAUAUCAGGAAGGAACACCAAUGGCGAAGGCAGCUCGCUGGGACGUACUGACGCUGAGACGCGAAAGCGUGGGGAGCAAACAGG